rnacentral:rRNA from 1 species
UCCAAAACAACCAGGAUGUUGGCUUAGAAGCGCCACCAUUUAAAGAGUGCGUAAUAGCUCACUGGUCGAGAGACUCUGCGCCGAAGAUGUCCGGGGCUAAAGUGUAAAACCGAAGUCGUGUCAUAUGCAGCAAUGUAUAUGGGUAGGGGAGCGUUCUCAUCGGGCUGAAGCAGUACCGUAAGGAGUUGUGGACUGAUGAGAAGUGAGAAUGUCGGUAUGAGUAGCGAAAAGAAUGGUGAGAAUCCAUUCCACCGAAAGCCUAAGGGUUCCUGAGCAACGAUCGUCGUCUCAGGGUAAGUCGGGACCUAAGCCGAGGCGGAAAAGCGUAGGCGAUGGACAACAGGUUGAAAUUCCUGUACCGGUGUGAAUCGUUUGAUCGAUGGAGUGACACAGUAAGGUAGGUCAGCACGCGAUUGGAAGUGCGUGUUUAAGCAUGUAGGUUGAGCUAUAGGCAAAUCCGUAGCUCUAAAAGCUGAGAUGUGAUGACGAGUUACUAGCGAUAGUAACGAAGUGAUUGAUCCUACACUGUCGAGAAAAGCUUCUAGGUAGAGACACAUCGCCCGUACCAAAACCGACACAGGUAGGCGGGGAGAGAAUCCUAAGGUGCGCGGG